UUUAUGGAGAGUUUGAUCCUGGCUCAGGAUGAACGCUGGCGGCGUGCCUAAUACAUGCAAGUCGAGCGAACGGACGAGAAGCUUGCUUCUCUGAUGUUAGCGGCGGACGGGUGAGUAACACGUGGAUAACCUACCUAUAAGACUGGGAUAACUUCGGGAAACCGGAGCUAAUACCGGAUAAUAUUUUGAACCGCAUGGUUCAAAAGUGAAAGACGGUCUUGCUGUCACUUAUAGAUGGAUCCGCGCUGCAUUAGCUAGUUGGUAAGGUAACGGCUUACCAAGGCAACGAUGCAUAGCCGACCUGAGAGGGUGAUCGG
rnacentral:rRNA from 2 species